ACACUCCUGCGGGAGGCAGCAGUGAGGAAUAUUGGACAAUGGGUGGAAGCCUGAUCCAGCCAUCCCGCGUGCAGGAAGACGGCCCUAUGGGUUGUAAACUGCUUUUAUCUGGGGAUAAACCUACUUACGUGUAAGUAGCUGAAGGUACCAGAAGAAUAAGCACCGGCUAACUCCGUGCCAGCAGCCGCGGUAAUACGGAGGGUGCAAGCGUUAUCCGGAUUUAUUGGGUUUAAAGGGUCCGUAGGCGGACUGAUAAGUCAGUGGUGAAAUCCGACAGCUUAACUGUCGAACUGCCAUUGAUACUGUUAGUCUUGAGUAAGGUUGAAGUGGCUGGAAUAAGUAGUGUAGCGGUGAAAUGCAUAGAUAUUACUUAGAACACCAAGUGCGAAGGCAGGUCACUAAGUCUUAACUGACGCUGAUGGACGAAAGCGUGGGGAGCGAACAGGAUUAGAAACCCUUGUAGUCCCAUGAU
rnacentral:rRNA from 1 species